rnacentral:tRNA from 1 species
UGGCUCAGUUGGUAGAGCAUGGUGUUUGCAACGCCGGGGUUAUGGGUUCGAUUCCCAC